UAGGGAAUAUUGCUCAAUGGGCGAGAGCCUGAACCAGCCAAGUCGCGUGAGGGAAGACGGCCCUAUGGGUUGUAAACCUCUUUUGCCGGGGAGCAAAGCGCCGCACGUGUGCGGCUUGGAGAGUACCCGGAGAAAAAGCAACGGCUAACUACGUGCCAGCAGCCGCGGUAAUACGUAGGUUGCGAGCGUUGUCCGGAAUUACUGGGUGUAAAGGGCGUGUAGGCGGAGCUGCAAGUCAGAUGUGAAAUGUCAUGGCUCAACCAUGGAACUGCAUUUGAAACUGUGGCCCUUGAGUAUCGGAGAGGCAAGCGGAAUUCCUAGUGUAGCGGUGAAAUGCGUAGAUAUUAGGAGGAACACCAGUGGCGAAGGCGGCUUGCUGGACGACAACUGACGCUGAGGCGCGAAAGCGUGGGGAGCAAACAGGAUUAGAUACCC
rnacentral:rRNA from 1 species